UCUUUUCCAUCUGCUGAGGCGAGGACUGUAAAAAUUUGAAGAUGGUGUUUUGGGCUAGGGCAUCAUUGACGGCCUGGCGGGGAUCGAGAGGGAUCUGACGAAAGAUAGCAUUAUUCCGUUGUCUCCAGAUCUCCCACAGAAGAUGAGCGAUCACAGCAAAAUCAGGAGAUGCGUGUGGGAGGGAAGCUCUUUCUACUAACCAUGCAUCAAAUCGGCUCACUGAGGUACCAGAAGGAUUUUCUGUCCAAACUAGUUGAUCCUGAAGGAGAGACGGAUUGAUGGGGGUAUUGAGAAUUGCCUUACUGACCUGAUCAUCGAAGAAUGCCGUAACAAGCGUGGACUUCCAUUCAGAAUGCGGAAAAUCAAUGAGGUCAGCCACUCGAUCAGGUUCCCCUAUCUCUGAGAGACAGCGGAAGCUUGAAGAUAGACAUGGCAUACUGCGG